UACGGAGGAUGCGAGCGUUGUCCGGAUUUAUUGGGCGUAAAGCGAGCGCAGGUGGUUUAUUAAGUCUGGUGUAAAAGGCAGUGGCUCAACCAUUGUAUGCAUUGGGAAUUGGUAGACUUGAGUGCAGGAGAGGAGAGUGGAAUUCCAUGUGUAGCGGUGGAAUGCGUAGAUAUAUGGGGGAACACCGGUGGCGAAAGCGGCUCUCUGGCCUGUAACUGACACUGAGGCUCGAAAGUGUGGGGAGCAAACAGG
rnacentral:rRNA from 1 species